AGAGAAGGAGGAAGAGAGAGAACUCUAAUUUUAUGCUAAACGGUGUUCCAUUGGAUUUGUGAUUAAUGUAUAAAAGUCCAUGAUAAAGAAAAUUCUUUUUUUUUUAAAUUAUUUUUAGGAACUUGGCUUCUAAAAUGAAAAGGAGGUUUUGGGGAGAGUCUGGCAGUGUCGAUGCUUCCAGCAGAUGAAGAAUCAACCCCACCUGCAGCUGGUGUUGAAACUGGAAAACCUAAAAAGUUUUAUCUCCUCAUGAACCAUGAAGAUUCUUUUCAAGUGUGAAACAUAUCAUCUUUAGAACUGAACACCUUCUCAACUGAACUUAAAGGAGAAAAUAAGUGCAAUAUUGGGAACUAGAUUUAAAUGAAGAUAAGGUAGAAGACAGAACUGUUACAAGUAUGUAAGUUUUAUUGUACAGAAAAAUGAAGGCUUCAGCUCUGUUGUAUUCUGAAAAAUUCCUAGCUUCUAUGUAAUUCUCUAAUUAUAGAACUUUAUUUCAUUAUGUUGAACUAGUCCUGAUUUCACCAUGAAAAUCUGACCUG
rnacentral:lncRNA from 1 species